ACCUGGAUGGCUCAGUUGGUUAAGCAUCUGACUUCAACUCAGGUCAUGAUCUCAUGGUUUGUGGGUUUGAGCCCCAUCUCAGGCU
rnacentral:tRNA from 1 species